AAGACUAGUGGAGUGAUGGUGGCAUUACAAAUUUUUGAAAUGUGUUAUGUAGUCUCUUUUUAUACAAGUCCAGAUUAAAGAUCUGUUGAUAUAUGGUUCCUGUUUAUCUUUGGAAGUACAGCUGAGGGGCUAGCCUUUGGUAAUAGUGUCUAUUGGAUACGUUUUGAUGAAGAGUUUUCAGAGAAGAAAUUUAAAUCUUCAAAUCCUUUUGGCAUCAAAUACAAGUUCCAUCUGGAGGAUGCUGUUGAUUGUCCUGAGUGGAUUGUUCCUUUCCCCGUCUUCAAGGCAAUGGCUGAAGAGGUAUUAGCAUGUGUGCCUCCCACUUUUAGUUGUUGACAUG